rnacentral:tRNA from 1 species
AUUUAAGUAGCUUAAAGUUUAAAGUGUAAUAGUGAAGUUAUUAAUAUAGAUUUAAAUAUCUCUUAAAUA